ACUUCAUAAGUUGGUUGAACCCUAAAAAGUCGAAAAAGCGGACUCGUCCAGCGAAUGUGAGAGUCACUAUCAUCAAUCAACAUCGUAAAGCAACCGUGACUCAGCCGACGUAACUAUGAAAUUUCUCUUCACCGUGUGCAAUUAGCAAAUUACAAAAUUUACUUUUGUACUGUUCAAGUAAUUAAUAUAAUUUUUCAAAUAUAAAAAUUAGUCCAUUUA
rnacentral:misc_RNA from 1 species